rnacentral:tRNA from 1 species
AGCUCCGCCGAUUGUAGUGGCCAAGCAUAGCGGCCUUUGGAGCCGUAGUCCCCCAGCAAGGGGAGACGGAGACGAGAGUUCGAGUCUCUCCCGGGCUA